rnacentral:rRNA from 1 species
UGGGGGAUAUUGCACAAUGGGGGAAACCCUGAUGCAACGACGCCGCGUGAGUGAAGAAGUAUUUCGGUAUGUAAAGCUCUAUCAGCAGGGAAGAAGAUGACAGUACCUGACUAAGAAGCCCCGGCUAACUACGUGCC